GCGGUGUGUACGGCAUUUCGCACAUCAGCAGACCUCUCGAGAGUAUUUUUCAGUCCAAAGGUGCUCCGUGAACCACUAAAAUUGUGUUUUCUUGAUAACGGGAGGGACUUAUGCUACUGUGCCCAAGAUGAAGCCAACCUAUAUUGGUCUUUUAUUCCUCACUUGUGUGUAUGCUGCUUCCGGAGAAGGGUUGCAAGUGGAAGAGCAGGAAGGUAAUUUUAUAUUUAAAGCCAAUUUUCCGUCAUAUCCAGUGCUGUUUGAACAAACAAGAUGAAAAACGCAAUAUCCAGUUUUUUGUAUUUAGUUUUU